CUCCGUUGAUUGAUUUGGACUGUACAUUC
rnacentral:sRNA from 1 species